rnacentral:rRNA from 1 species
GACGAACGCUGGCGGCGUGCUUAACACAUGCAAGUCGAACGGAAACGCCCUGCUUAGGUGCGCUGCUCGAGUGGCGAACGGGUGAGUAACCCGUGGGUACCCUACCCUUGACUUUGGGAUAACUUCAGGAAGCUUAGGAUAAUACCAGAUAGGAUCUCCUGCUGCAUGGUGGGGCUGGGAAAGUUUAGGUGGUUGGGAAUGGAAUCGCGGCGUAUCAGAUUGUUGGUGGGGUAGUGGCUUACCAAGGCUUUGACGGGUAGCCCGGCUGAGAGGGUGACCGGCUACAUUACGACGGAGCUACGACACAGACUACAACGCUAGGCAAGGGAGGGGAGGAGGAUAUUAUGGACUGGGGGAAGACGUAGCAACGCCGCGUGGGGUAAGUGGGGCAUCGGGUUGGAAUGCGAAGUUGCCUGUGACGAGGCGAUAGUGACGGUAAUGGGUGAAGAAGCACCGGCUAACUACGUG